rfam:Myotis davidii contig317999, whole genome shotgun sequence.
GCCGGUUUGGCUCAGUGGAUAGAGCGUCAGCCUGCGGACUGAAGGGUGCCGGGUUCGAUUCCGGUCAAGGGCA